AAGCAAUGAUGAGAUUCCACUUCGGUCCGUGUUUUUGAAUUCUGUGAUGCCAAUAGAAGUUCUGAGUCU